UGGCUUAGUUGGUUAAAGCGCCGGACUAGCGAUACGGAGUCGUGGGUUCGAACCUCAC
rnacentral:tRNA from 1 species